rnacentral:rRNA from 1 species
UACGUAGGUGGCAAGCGUUGUCCGGAAUUAUUGGGCGUAAAGGGCUCGUAGGCGGUUUGUCGCGUCGGGAGUGAAAACCUCGGGCUUAACUCGGGGCUUGCUUUCGAUACGGGCAGACUGGAGGUAUGCAGGGGAGAACGGAAUUCCUGGUGUAGCGGUGAAAUGCGCAGAUAUCAGGAGGAACACCGGUGGCGAAGGCGGUUCUCUGGGCAUGACCUGACGCUGAGGAGCGAAAGUGUGGGGAGCGAACAGG